rnacentral:rRNA from 1 species
CAGCCGUAAACAAUGUGCGUUAGGUAUGUCGGUAACCACGUGUUACUGAUGUGCCGAAGAGAAAUCGUGAAACGCACCACCUGGGAAGUACGGUCGCAAGGCUGAAACUUAAAGGAAUUGGCGGGGGAGCACCACAACAGGUGGAGCCUGCGGUUUAAUUGGAUUCAACACCGGAAAACUCACCAGGGGAGACUGUUACAUGAAACCCAGACUAAUGAUCUUGGUUGAUUUUUCAGAGAGGAGGUGCAUGGCGUAGUCGUGU